rnacentral:rRNA from 1 species
UACGUAGGGAGCAAGCGUUGUCCGGAAUCAUUGGGCGUAAAGAGCGUGUAGGCGGCUCGAUAAGUCUGCUGUGAAAGUCCAGGGCUCAACCCUGGAAGGCCGGUGGAAACUGUCGGGCUAGAGUCCGGAAGAGGCGAGUGGAAUUCCCGGUGUAGCGGUGAAAUGCGCAGAUAUCGGGAGGAACACCAAUGGCGAAGGCGGUUGCCUGGAGCUUUGCUGACGCUGAUGCGCGAAAGCGUGGGGAGCGAUCCGG